GGUGCACCAACACUGUCACUGUACUGUAUCUCACGUGUGUCACACGGAGAAGGAACAGCAAACUAGCUAUCAUAGCUAUGUCCAUUUGGUGUGAAUAGAAAAUGUACUUGUUGUAUUAUGUGUGGGCCAUCUUCUUACCUUUACUACCUAACUAUAUACAUACAUUUUUCACCAGGAAAGCUUCUGCGUUUACACACACAUUUUUUUUAUAAUUUAAUUUAAUUUUUUUGGCAUGAAAGAAUGGCAAGACUCUCUUUCCCGACUAUGGUGCUCCUUUGCGACCUGAAUCACAGCAGAGCACACAAACAUUAAUGUAAUCUACGGAUAGAAACCUACAUGGGAGGCACGUGCGAGCUAACGCUAGCAUCUCCAGCCUUUGGCUCAGAAGUGGGGGGAGAGUGGCUGCUAAACGUUUCUCCUAGACUUUCAAUUCAGUGCUGUACAUUGCCAAAAAGAAACAUGUGAUAUACAUUCUGACAACUGGUGCUAUUUAAACACAUCUGUGGUGCUUUUUUUGUUUGAUGUUUCCUUGCUUCAGACAAAAUGUAGCUGUACAAUCCUGUACUGUAAGAUUGCCGUCAGUCAGUGUUGGAAUUUAGAUGGUUUGCUUUGACUGCUCGCUGUUUCAGGGAAACACAGAUAAUUGAACGGCUAAUUCAAAAGCAAAGGAAAUUGAAAAUGAGCGGUUCACUCAAAUCCACAUGUCCUAACAUGUUUGGUCCCUAGGGGUUCAGUUUACUUUAAGUCUCUUGUUCUUUUUUUUGCUCUGAACUUGCUUCAAAGUCUGCCGAUAGUGUCCACACAUUGUGUUUGGUGCUGAGUGAACAGAUAUGCUCACAAUGACUUUUGAUAUUUCUUCAUAGACAUUCAGCUCACUGGCUCUGUAGUCUUUCUAUCAGGUCCGGUAGACAUACCACCAAACCCUGCAGGUGCCCUUUCCCUUCACAGAAUAAGCAGCAUCAACAUCUAGUUGUCCUGUGACGCAGCAGCUACAACAGCAACCACUGGGUGGAGGUGGUUGCUUAUUAAGAGACCUGCAGUGUUACCAUCUUUGAAAACCGGAGGAAGCAUUGAAAUCUUGUCUUAUCUGGAUGUUUAAAAGUAGUUAACACUCAUCCUUUAUGGAGCAUCUUUAAAUGACAAACCUCAUGUUUUUUAAGUAAUGUUAUGUUUAUCCCAAAAUGCAAUACAAGCGGAAGAAGAACAAGAGAGUUGUCUACUCUCAAUUGUUUCCUAUAGUCUUCCUCAGAUAUGUAGAACUGGUUUGAGUUACAGACUUUAUUUUAAUUUCAGGACCCUGUGGAAAGGAGUGUAUUCUCUGUUAGUUACAGGCGUAGACAACUCAGUACCUCAAAUUGUCUCUUCAUGGAAAUCUUCAGUCCAGAUAUGUACUAUUCUGUUUCUUUUUUAUUCUUGUAUUUUUUUUAAUCUUUUUUUUACGUUGACCAUCAUGGAGAAGUCAGUGCUCAUGAAGCUUUUUUAUAUUUGUUGGCACACACACUAAGAAGAAUGUAUGGCUAAUGUAAUUUCUGCUCACUCCCACUCUUUCUAAAAAUUAAGCUUUUCAAGCUAACAGCCGUUCUUUUGUAUUUCAAAUGUCUUGGUAUGCUUGUUGUAGUUGUAUAUUCACAAUGGUGUAUAUUACAUCAGUUUUUAUUUAUUAAAAUGUUUGAAUUUUCUAAGAUGACUGUUCUUGUUAUUGAGCAUGUAUCCUUAUACAUUUAAAGAUGCAGAGAUGUAUUUACUCUCCUCAACACGUGUGAGUAAUGGUGUUGCAUGCAGAAAAGACCAGAAACACGGGUCAACCUUUUCAGUCCCUUAUGUCCACAACUACCUCCUGUGGAAAAGUUGAAGGCGCCAUGUUAUGAUGAAGGAGUAUCCAGACUGAAUGCCUCACUGAGGGAACAUACUCCUGAGAGAAAAUCUGUUAACGAUGGUAUAAUCAGCUAUUAAUGAUAAUGAUUACUGUAUUCAGAACAAGCAGCAGUGCGUGUCUUUCUGUGAGUUCUUGGCUCAACUGAAGAAGCGCUCAUCGAAUCUUCUUCUCACUUGGUUGGUGUUUUGCUGGGGAUCCGAGGGAGUGCUUCGUCAAAUUUGGCUCAUUUUGGACACAAACGUACAUGACCACCCCACCUAGUGCAUCCUCCACGGCUCUGUAGUCAAGCACGUAGGCAGACAAUCAUUCAUUUAAAUAUAUCUCUAAACCGGAAUAAGAGGAAACAAGUAAAUAUUCUCUGCGUUUGAAUAUAGAUGAGUUACAAAGGAAACCAUUUCUCUCAGGAGCUGAUUCGACAGGAACGUUUGUGGUUUAAGGAAAAC
ensembl:lncRNA